rnacentral:rRNA from 1 species
GAUGGGGUGACUGCGUACCUUUUGUAUAAUGGGUCAGCGACUUAUAUUCUGUAGCAAGGUUAACCGAAUAGGGGAGCCGUAGGGAAACCGAGUCUUAACUGGGCGAAUGAGUUGCAGGGUAUAGACCCGAAACCCGGUGAUCUAGCCAUGGGCAGGUUGAAGGUUGGGUAACACUAACUGGAGGACCGAACCGACUAAUGUUGAAAAAUUAGCGGAUGACUUGUGGCUGGGGGUGA